CAGAUUAUUCUUACAGACUUCAUGGCUUUGAUGGCAAUCGUGGCUAGAGCUGGUCAAGUGUGUUGUGUGCUAAAGGUUUUAUGUUUGACCGCAGGAAAUGUCUGUGCCCUUGAACACAUUCUCAGUUUUCAUCGGGUUAGUCUGGAAGGUCCCCUGAAGAGAAUGUCUGAUGUAAUGAAACCUCUUGUCUGUCUGAAAACUGGGGCAAAAACUGCUGUGUUUUGGCUUGCAGGGAGGUGGACUGGUUUUCCUUGGCAAGCAUCCUUUUCCUGCUCCUGUUUGCCCCAUGGAUGGUGGAUUACUUCUUCACCAUGUCCUGUGAGCAGUGCCAGUGCUCUCUGACUGAUCCCCUCAGGGACUUGCUCCCAGGGAGCACACAUCUGUCUGACAUCUGGAACAAGACUCCUAUGCUGACCCACCAGGCUUCUGGCAUCUAUUGCCUUUGGAUGGCUUUCCAGGUGUAGUGAAUAAAUAUGAACUCAGUGGACUUCAAGGCUGGAUCAUUACUCACGUGCUUUGGUUUGCAAAUGCCUAUGACUUCCACUUCUUCUGCCCCACCAUCAUUUUUGACAACUGGAUUCCUCUGCUGUGGUGUGCCAAUAUCCUGCGAUCUCCACUUCCCACAUUUGCAAUGAUGAAAGGCUCCUUCUUCCCUACCAAUGCCAAAGACUGCAAAUUCACUGGCAACUUCUUUUCCACUACAUGCUGGGCAUUGACUUUAACCCUGGAAUAGGAAGGUGGUUUUGAUUUCAAGCUCUUCUUCAAUGGACGCCCUGGGAUUGUAGGCUGGACUCUCCUUUCCUCUGCUGCCAAAGUACAGGAGCUGCAUGGCCAAGUGACAAACUCCAUGAUCCUUGUCAAUGUCCUUCAGGUAAACGCAGAGGAGGAAAUGAAGAAAGCAGUUUGAAAAUUACCUCCUAUUAAAAUAGGCAAAAACCUCCUUCACGGAAAUUAAACUUAGACAGGAAAUGAAAGUGGCCUGAAGAAGCUCAUUCAGUGCUGAAGUAGUGGGACUUCUUUGGACACUUGUGUUGGUUUCCUUGGACACUUGUGUUCCUUCAGAGAGCCACUGGAAACACUACUGUUGACUCAG